AUGUUAAAACUAAUUUAAAUACAGGAAGUUGCAUCAUUUACCAGUUUGCCAGGGACCUGUGGAAUCUGCGAGCAAGUUUUUAAGUCUCUUAAAUUUGAUUAAAAAAAAAAAAAAACUUUUUAACAGCUGGAAUGUAGUUGCCACAUUUGGAUAUCAUGUGGUGUGACCUCAAAAAAUUGUGAAUAUUAAGUUAUUUCUACAAAUAUAUAUUUUGAUUAUAAAUUUCAUAGUGACCUUUUGUUAAGGUGGCCAAUUCUCUGCCUGUACAUUCUGACUGAACUUGAAAACAUCAUGUGGUGCGACCAUUGCAGAGUGUUUUCCAUGAUAGAUAUAUGGUCUAGAUUUUCACUUUUUGUGCUAGUCUUCUAGUAAUAGGGGAAUAGGGGAAGUCUGAAUGAGUGAGUCGAUACUUUGUCUUUUGGAGCGACCAUCAUGAGGUGCAACCUAAAAUAACAGUAACUGUAUUAAAUUUAAAAUAAAGUAUCAAUUUUCUGUUGCUGAAAUAUUAAGUAUUGAUACUGUAUGCUUAAGUUAAUGGUAUUUUAGAACACAUUUUAACAGUUUUAUAGGAUUUACAGGAAAAAUUACCUUAUUAUCUACAUUGUAGCCAGUGAUUGUGACACUAAAAAACAAAAUUGAGAUCAUAAUUUACAAAAAAAUUGUAAAAUAAAAAUAAAGUAUAUUAAGGAAAUGUAUUAAUUUUAACAUAAAUCACAGUCGCACCACAUGACAUUUUGUAAGGCCAAGACCAAUUCUUCUAAAUAAAAAUACACUAAAAUCACAUCGAAAAUUUAAAUGAGUUUAUGUGUUCACAACAUUUUAAAUUUUUGAACAAUUGCAACAGAAAUGUUCUAAAUCUUCUUCAUAUUUUGAUACAUGUAUUGUUGGUAGUACUAAAGUUUGUACUUUUGUAUGAUUUGAACGAUUUUGCUAAAUACUAAAAGUGGUGGAUGUGGGUGGAGAUAAAAACUUACAAUGAUAUAUUGUUCAUAAAACUUAGGUGCAAAAAGUUUUCAUCUAGAUUCUACUUUUUUUUUUUUUUUUACUGAGUAGUAGCUAAGUUACUGGACCUACAUACCCAAUUUGAAGUUUGGAUGAUUUACAGAGAAGAAUUUAUUUAGGGAAGAAAAUUAACAAGAAAAAUCCUAGCAAUCCCAAUAGGUUUCCAUUACCUGCAAUGUUUUAACCUCUAAUAAAAAAAGAUUCUGUGUUUGUCCCAACUUUAAUCCCGUUUUCAACCCACAGCACAGUUAUGAGUUACCUUUCAGUACAGCACAAAGCAUCUGAUAAGAACACAAGGCAAAACACCAGGUACAGUAGCAAUGUUGAACUAGAAUGCAUGAUAAAUGCAGGAUAUGGGCCCUUUAAAGUAGUCAGUAUCUACUUUAGUGUUCUCCUGAUUUUGCAAACAAUGUAAUGCAAUUCUGUUGUUUCCCACAUGGUAGCUGAGAGAAGUCUGUAAACAAAAAUAAACCAUGUGAUUGGUCAGUAAAAGAAGGCAGUUUUUUCAGGAGACUCUAGACUGCUCAAAUACGUCUUAAAGAGUAACUACACUAUAAUACAUUUUUACAUUGAUACCCGAAAUAUGUUUAUCUGUAAAAAUAAAGCUUACGAGCCCUGCUUACAAUGCUUUUAGAUAUUUGACCCUAUUUUUAUCAAAAGUUUAUUUACUACUGAUAACAGAUGGAUGGUGCUGUGCUGGUUAGAUUAGUAGUUUCGGGGGGUUUAUAACAGAUGACGCUGUGCUGGUUGGAUUAGUAGGUUCUGGGGGUUUAUAACAGAUGACGCUGUGCUGGUUGGAUUAGUAGUUUCUGGGGGUUUAUAACAGAUGACGCUGUGCUGGUUGGAUUAGUAGGUUCUGGGGUUCUAUAACAGAUGACGCUGUGCUGGUUGGAUUAGUAGGUUCUGGGGUUUUAUAACAGAUGACGCUGUGCUGGUUAGAUGAGUAGUUUCUGGGUUUUUAUAACAGAUGAUGCUGUGCUGGUUGGAUUAGUAGGUUCUGGGGGUUUAUAACAGAUGACGCUGUGCUGGUUGGAUUAGUAGGUUCUGGGGUUUUAUAACAGAUGACGCUGUGCUGGUUGGAUUAGUAGGUUCUGGGUUUUUAUAACAGAUGGAUGGUGCUGUGCUGGUUGGAUUAGUAGGUUCUAGGGUUUGAUAACCGAUGGUGCUGUGCUGGUUGGAUUAGUAGGUUCUGGGGUUCUAUAACAAAUGAUGCUGUGCAGGUUGGAUUAGUAGGUUCUGGGGUUUUAUAACAGAUGACGCUGUGCUGGUUGGAUUAGUAGGUUCUGGGGUUUUAUAACAGAUGGAUGGUGCUGUGCUGGUUGGAUUAGUAGGUUCUGGGGUUUUAUAACAGAUGGAUGGUGCUGUGCUGGUUGGAUUAGUAGGUUCUGGGGGUUUAUAACAGAUGACGCUGUGCUGGUUGAAUUAGUAGUUUCUGGGGGUUUAUAACAGAUGACGCUGUGCUGGUUGGAUUAGUAGGUUCUGGGGUUCUAUAACAGAUGACGCUGUGCUGGUUGGAUUAGUAGUUUCUGGGUUUUUAUAACAGAUGACGCUGUGCUGGUUAGAUGAGUAGUUUCUGGGUUUUUAUAACAGAUGGAUGGUGCUGUGCUGGUUGGAUUAGUAGGUUCUAGGGUUUGAUAACCGAUGGUGCUGUGCUGGUUGGAUUAGUAGGUUCUGGGGUUCUAUAACAGAUGACGCUGUGCUGGUUGGAUUAGUAGGUUCUGGGGUUUUAUAACAGAUGACGCUGUGCUGGUUGGAUUAGUAGGUUCUGGGGUUUUAUAACAGAUGACGCUGUGCUGGUUGGAUUAGUAGUUUCUGGGUUUUUAUAACAGAUGGAUGGUGCUGUGCUGGUUGGAUUAGUAGGUUCUAGGGUUUGAUAACCGAUGGUGCUGUGCUGGUUGGAUUAGUAGGUUCUGGGGGUUUAUAACAGAUGACGCUGUGCUGGUUGGAUUAGUAGGUUCUGGGGUUUUAUAACAGAUGACGCUGUGCUGGUUGGAUUAGUAGGUUCUGGGGUUUUAUAACAGAUGACGCUGUGCUGGUUGGAUUAGUAGGUUCUGGGGUUUUAUAACAGAUGGAUGGUGCUGUGCUGGUUGGAUUAGUAGGUUCUGGGUUUUUAUAACAGAUGACGCUAUUCUGGUUGAAUUACUAGGUUCUGGGGGUUUAUAACAGAUGACGCUGUGCUGGUUAGAUGAGUAGUUUCUGGGUUUUUAUAACAGAUGACACUGUGCUGGUUAGAUGAGUAGUUUCUGGGUUUUUAUAACAGAUGGAUGGUGCUGAGCUGGUUGGAUUAGUAGGUUAUGGGUUUUUAUAACAGAUGACGCUGUGCUGGUUGAAUUAGUAGGUUCUGGGGGUUCAUAACAGAUGACGCUGUGCUGGUUGGAUUAGUAGGUUCUGGGGGUUUAUAACAGAUGACGCUGUGCUGGUUGAAUUAGUAGUUUCUGGGGGUUUAUAACAGAUGACGCUGUGCUGGUUAGAUUAGUAGGUUCUGGGGUUUUAUAACAGAUGACGCUGUGCUGGUUAGAUUAGUAGUUUCUGGGUUUUUAUAACAGAUGGAUGGUGCUGUGCUGGUUGGAUUAGUAGGUUCUAGGGUUUGAUAACCGAUGGUGCUGUGCUGGUUGGAUUAGUAGGUUCUGGGUUUUUAUAACAGAUGACGCUGUGCUGGUUGAAUUAGUAGUUUCUGGGUUUUUAUAACAGAUGACGCUGUGGUGGUUAGAUGAGUAGUUUCUGGGUUUUUAUAACAGAUGACGCUGUGCUGGUUGAAUUAGUAGGUUCUGGGGGUUUAUAACAGAUGACGCUGUGCUGGUUGGAUUAGUAGGUUCUGGGGUUCUAUAACAGAUGACGCUGUGCUGGUUGGAUUAGUAGGUUCUGGGGUUAUAUAACAGAUAGUGUUCGCCUUGUUUAGCAUUCGCCUCGUUUAGCAUUCGCCUCGUUUAGCGUUCGGCUUGGUUAACGUUAGCGCUCGGCACGGUUAGCGUUCGGCACGGUUAGCAUUCGGCUCGUUUAGCGUUCGCCUCGUUUAGCGUUCGGCUCGGUUAGCGUUUGGCUUGUUUAGCGUUCGCUUCGGUUAGCGUUAGCGCUCGGCUCGUUUAGUGUAUGGCUCGGUUAGAGUUUGGCUCGUUUAACGUUCGGAUUGGUUAGCAUUAGCGCUCGGCUCGGUUAGAGUUCGGCUCAUUCAGCGCUCGGUUGGCGUUAGCGCUCGGCUCGGUUAGCGUUCGGGUUAGCGUUCGGCUCGGUUAGCGUUCGGGUUAGCGUUCGGCUCGGUUAGCGUUCACAUGAAAUUCUAUUUUGUCACCCUAUAUGAUAUGAACUGCAUUUAAAUACAUAAAUAAUGAUAUUAGAUACUUAUCUUAUAGCUAAUAGGUGUUUAAAAUAUUUUGUUUAACCCAAAAUAUUUGUUGUAAACAGCAACACUGACUCAUUCAUGCAGAUUCACUUACUUAUUAGACUCAGUUACUCCUGAACACAAAAGGAAAAGUUCAAUUUGACCCAGUGUCAGUUCACUGUAGCACAGCUGAACAUCCAGCUUCAGCACAACACCAGUAGAGGCAUAUAUUAUAAACACAUGGUUCUUCUGUUUGUUUCUUUAAGUAGAAGCCAAAUGUGUCACUGUGUUUAGUGGCACACUGUUUUUAACAAUACAUCCACAGCUUUCUGAUCGAUGAUGUUUUGCUCACUCUCAUUUAAAAAGAAAUUAUGCAUUAAAUAUAAAAGAUUUACUAAAGAUUAUUAGAAUACCUGUAGCUAACAGUCGACAGAUUAAAUCUUGUGAUUAAAAUUUAGUGAUUCUGCUGUAACUGAAAAUGAUUUCAGUCACUUGCCAAACUAAGUUUGUUUGUUUGCUAAAUUCAGAUAAUACAGAUUUUUGCAUACAGAUUGUCGUGUGGUGUGAUUCAUCAUGUGGCGUGACACCAUGUCAUAUGAUGUGACAUUCAGAAUGAAAAAAAAAAGUAUUUUGAUUAUUUAUCAAAAAAACUCUUCAGUGUGACAUAUAAGGAAUAGUGCCAGCAAAGGUUACAAGAAUUUUCUUACUUUUAUAACAAGGUAUUUCCAAAAUAAUUUAAAGUAUAUUGAAAGAAUUCGAUUAACACAUGAACAAUGCUAGACUUAUAUAUAGGCCUGUCACAAUAACAACAUUUUCAGGACGAUAUAUUGUCCCAAAAUUUGUGAUAAAAAUUAUAAUAUUGUCAUUUUAGAGCACCAUUAUAGAAAAUGAUUUUUUUUCCUGCUUCUGGCCUCCCCAAAGGAUCUUUAAGACACUGUGCCACAGUAAUAAUAUACUAGCAUAAUAAUACUAUUACACCAUUUUACAGUUAAACUAACUUUCUAUUAUUAAAAACAGAUUUUGAGCUUCUAAUAUAAAAAUAUUUUAAUAUCCAAAAUAAAUGAAAACUAAUAAAAUACAACCACCCUGGGGUUUUGAGAAAACGGCAAUAGACCUUUAUAAAAAAAAAUAAUAAUAAAGUAACAACAAAUAGAUUAAAGUAACAUUUACAUUUUUUUUCUGUGGACACAGGCGCUUGCAGAUUCUUUUUUCUGAUCAUAUAUGCAUAUGCUGUAAAACACAAAUAAGCUCAAAAACACACGAGUCCAUGUGAUCAAAGACACAGAUGGCUCAGCUAUAGCUCUUGCUAUAAAUGCAUUUUUUAAUGUAACUGUCAGGCUAAUUCAGAGCAAGGAACACCAGCAUGUUUACCCUGUAGGGCUUGAGGCAGGAUCUCUCAGGGGGAAAAAUAUUUAUAUUAAAUAUUCAGUUUCGGAAAGUGGGGCUGGAUCGUUGUGCUUUUAAAUAAGAUCUCAGGUUGGUUUCCACUGUUUAGAAACAAAGUAAACAUACCGCCUCAAUUGCGUUGAUGGUUCUCCUCGCUCAUUUGGCUUAAAGCCAAAAUACUUACGCACCGGAGCCGUGGAAUGGGGCUUUAAAACAAAGCCCUUCCCGGACUGGACUUCUGUAAACUUUUUCUAAAGCUGUUUAGUUUUUGAAAGUCCUAUUAGCCUCGAAUACGUUCGCAAGCUAACACAUCUCCACAAACAUCUCUGCGUCACAGGUGCAUAAACUCAUUACUACAUUCACGAUGGGCCUACUUAUAUAUAGUAUUAAAAAGGAUUAAAAUAAAUUGACUUACAUUAUCACAUUAUACCCCUUUUUAUUACACAAUAACAGUCAUGUUACACCAUAUGACAAUUUUAGUCAUUAAGACCGUAAACUACUGAAUAAAUGUAAAUUUCAAGACAAACCCUACAAGACCAUAUAUAUAUAUAUAUAUAUAUAUAUAUAUAUAUAUAUAUAUAUAUAUAUAUAUAUAUAUAUAUAUAUAUAUAUAUGAAAAGAUAAGAGUUGGUAGAAUAUAACCCAGUGAUUUCCGUGACUUAAUUUUGACAUUUUUUCAGCCAAGUAUGUCAACCAACCAUGUACGUUUCAGUUUCAAAAUGUCCAGUUUCAAUUUUGGUUUUCUACUAUGCUAGUGGUGGUGAUAAAUUACCCAGCUAUGGAUAGAAAUCACUGAAGCUCUGUGCUUACCAGGUCAGCAGAAAAAUAGCCAGCUUCUGUGACUGCCACACACAGCUUUGCAUGCUGUUGUCUAUACCUGACAACCCAGAAUGUGGAAAUAGAACUGGGGGUAAUAGUGUUGGACAGAUUCAGUCACCACCCACAUUGAUUUUCCGAAAUGUUUGCUAAUUGCUGACAAGAGUUGCCAGUGCAAAACUCAGCACAUUUCCUUAAUAUCUAAUAAGACAUUACUACAGUAAUGUUAUAACAGAAAGCAUAAUUCUUAAUGGUCCUUUAAAAGUCCGGACCAGAUUCCGUACAAACAUUCAUGUGUUUGUUACAUUGUAUCUGUCGUCAACAAGUACUGAAGUCAACAACUAUUAUUUUGUAUAAUGCUGUUAAUUCCAGGUGUUUCUAGAUGUUGUGCUGAAUUCUACCUCUCUGAAAAUACCAGUUUUUGGUCCUUUGGUCCAGAAGGUGGUGUGCAGCCCUUUGACCACCUUUAUUUGAAAGUGCCCUCCACCAACAACCUCAACAAAUAUUGCGAUGGUCCAGUGGGGCUUUACUCAUCACUUUACUUUAGAGUCUUUGGGC